rnacentral:rRNA from 1 species
CCAAGUCUUCCCAAAUGCAUUGGAUUUCAACUAAUUUUGGAAGCUAAGCAGGGUCAGGCCUGUUUAGUAUUUGCAUGGGAGAUCACCAGGGAACUCGGCAGGACUAGGA